CAGGUAGCGGCUCAGACGUCGGUCGCGGGGGCGGCCCGGCCCGGCUGACUCGGCCCCGCACCGGCAACGACCCUGGCGUGCCGCUUAGCCGCAGUUCUGUCGGAAGGCAGCUUCUGUGAAGGAACCGUGCUGUCUGCAGAUGGGGAAUUCUGAGCGCUCCGUUAAAGUGGCUGGCCUGCGGCGGACGCCCGCCCAGUCCUGGAGAAUGAAUGAAGCUCGAUAGGAUCAGUUCUGAGUUGGUGGAUAUUUUGAGUGAAAUCUGGAACGCAAAUGAGAAGAAGUCUUCAAAGAGCAACUUGAUAAUGAGUCUACAGAGUCACCUAGACAAAGACUCGCUAAAUUGCCCAAGUUGACCCCAGCCCUUCCAUCCUCCUGCCUCAGCCCUGCAGCUGGGUGCCACCACACCCAUCUACAACUGGUUUCACGUCCAGCAGAGUUGCUAAACUCUCCCAUCGGUGCUCAACCCUGACCUAUGGAACCUUUUGGAUUUUCUACAUAUACAAGCACGUCAUCUGUGGAUAGUGACGAGUUGCUUCUACUUUUCUUAUUUUAUAGCUUCUAUUUCUUUUCCUUACGACCCAGGCUAGGAUAGUCUAUACAAUGUUAAAUAGAAAUAGGCAUCCUUGUCUCAUUACAUAUCUCAGAGGAAAAGAUUUUAUCAUUUUACCAUCAAGCGUGAUGUUUCCUCUUAGUAUAUUGCAGAUAUACUCUAUCAGAUGAAGGAAGUUCCCUUAAAUUCCUAGGUUGCUAAGAAUUUUUGUCAUGAAUGGAUGGUGAUUUUAACAACAAAUUUUCCACACACGGUGAGAUAAUCAUAUGUUUUCUUCUUUAAUCUUUUAAUGUGAGGAAUCACAUACAUUGAUUUUCUAAUUUUAAAAUAAUCUGCAUUCUAGGAAACCCAACAUUCUAGCCACGUAUCAUUACC
rnacentral:lncRNA from 1 species